AACUCACAAGUGCUUUAAUUUCAUUUCAACUUUAAAUAAAGUACAAGAGUGCUAAACAUAGCAUGAUCAAAGUUGCCAAUUGUACAAGCUUGCUAUUAUAAAUUUCACAUUGAAUCCAAAAUUACAAUAAGCUCAUGAACAAUACAACCAAAUUUUUGCCGUCUAAUACUACAAGGUUUUGAGUUUGGUGUUCAAAUGAUUCAAGCCUCCAUAAUAUCAUAGACAUGCUCCUGUUUCAUGCCAAAGCCUUCAAGCCAGCUCCACGCAUAUGAUUUGAGGCCUAAUCUGAAACACAACAAAAAGGAGUCAUUAUGGACCAAUUCAUUCUUGCAAUUUUUUUUAUCAAAUUGGAAUAAAAGACAAGUAAAUAUUUAUGUCGUUUGAAGAUAAAAUGAGCAGGGUUAUUUGAGCAAAUUUAAUUAGUUUAAAUUAACUAAUUAGAUUAGUCACAAAAUUGAGAGUGGAAUUACUCAUGGACAUUUCAAAUUACAGUAGUAAAAUUUCAAUGUUACAGCAAUAACAAAACUUCUGCAUAUGCCGAUUCACGAAUUUCCUUCCUCCACUCACCUGAAUCCCACACUCUCUGCUAAUUACCCUCCCUGAUUACACUCCCUAAAACUAUCUAGAGCUUCACAUUGAAGCUCUAAAAUAGAUAAACUAUCAACCCCUGUCACCAUUUCUCACUCACAACACCACACACAAAGAAGAAAGAUUAAGUAGAAGAAGAGAAGUAAAGAUAAAGAGCAAAGUACGAAAAGGAGGAAAAAGAGUUACUUGUCACUCGCCAGAAAUCGCAUCGUCGCGUCGGAGGGGGAGGAGCUUCGCCAGAAUACAUUUUUGGUAGAUUUUCUUGAUUUUUCUGCUUGUUUUAUGCUCGAUUUACGUUUCCGUUCUAGUAAUUUUUACCAAGCUCAUGUAAUCAGGUGAGUAAUCAAUGAAUCGGGAUUAAGGUGUCACGGGGUUUAGGGUUUCGAUAUACGUGUUGUUUGUGUUUUUAGAUGAAUUUUGUUUAUGGAUUUAGGAUCCGUUUACAGUAAAAAUUAGUAA
rnacentral:lncRNA from 1 species